AUUGUAGGUAACUCGCCUACAUGAAGCUGGAGUUACUAGUAAUCGCAGAUCAGAAUGCUGCGGUGAAUGCGUUCCCGGGUCUUGUACACACCGCCCGUCACACCACGGGAGUUGGAGACGCCCGAAGCCGAUUAUCUAACCUUUUGGAAGAAGUCGUCGAAGGUGGAAUCAAUAACUGGGGUGAAGUCGUAACAAGGUAGCCGUAUCGGAAGGUGCGGCUGGAUCACCUCCUUUCUAAGGAGA
rnacentral:rRNA from 1 species